GUUAUAUGGUCAAGUGAAGAAGCGCAUACGGUGGAUGCCUUGGCAGUCAGAGGCGAUGAAAGACGUGGUAGCCUGCGAAAAGCUUCGGGGAGUCGGCAAACAGACUUUGAUCCGGAGAUGUCUGAAUGGGGGAACCCAGCCAUCAUAAGAUGGUUAUCUUGUACUGAAUACAUAGGUGCAAGAGGCGAACCAGGGGAACUGAAACAUCUAAGUACCCUGAGGAAAAGAAAUCAACCGAGAUUCCCUUAGUAGUGGCGAGCGAACGGGGACUAGCCCUUAAGUGGCUUUGAGAUUAGCGGAACGCUCUGGAAAGUGCGGCCAUAGUGGGUGAUAGCCCUGUACGCGAAAAUCUCUUAGUCAUGAAAUCGAGUAGGACGGAGCACGAGAAACUUUGUCUGAAUAUGGGGGGACCAUCCUCCAAGGCUAAAUACUACUGACUGACCGAUAGUGAACUAGUACCGUGAGGGAAAGGCGAAAAGAACCCCGGAGAGGGGAGUGAAAUAGAUCCUGAAACCGUAUGCGUACAAGCAGUGGGAGCCCACUUUGUUGGGUGACUGCGUACCUUUUGUAUAAUGGGUCAGCGACUUAUUUUCAGUGGCGAGCUUAACCGAAUAGGGGAGGCGUAGCGAAAGCGAGUCUUAAUAGGGCGUCUAGUCGCUGGGAAUAGACCCGAAACCGGGCGAUCUAUCCAUGGGCAGGUUGAAGGUUGGGUAACACUAACUGGAGGACCGAACCGACUACCGUUGAAAAGUUAGCGGAUGACCUGUGGAUCGGAGUGAAAGGCUAAUCAAGCUCGGAGAUAGCUGGUUCUCCUCGAAAGCUAUUUAGGUAGCGCCUCAUGUAUCACUGUAGGGGGUAGAGCACUGUUUCGGCUAGGGGGUCAUCCCGACUUACCAAACCGAUGCAAACUCCGAAUACCUACAAGUGCCGAGCAUGGGAGACACACGGCGGGUGCUAACGUCCGUCGUGAAAAGGGAAACAACCCAGACCGUCAGCUAAGGUCCCAAAGUUAUGGUUAAGUGGGAAACGAUGUGGGAAGGCUUAGACAGCUAGGAGGUUGGCUUAGAAGCAGCCACCCUUUAAAGAAAGCGUAAUAGCUCACUAGUCGAGUCGGCCUGCGCGGAAGAUGUAACGGGGCUCAAACCAUACACCGAAGCUACGGGUAUCAUCUUAGGAUGAUGCGGUAGAGGAGCGUUCUGUAAGCCUGUGAAGGUGAGUUGAGAAGCUUGCUGGAGGUAUCAGAAGUGCGAAUGCUGACAUGAGUAACGACAAUGGGUGUGAAAAACACCCACGCCGAAAGACCAAGGUUUCCUGCGCAACGUUAAUCGACGCAGGGUUAGUCGGUCCCUAAGGCGAGGCUGAAAAGCGUAGUCGAUGGAAAACAGGUUAAUAUUCCUGUACUUCUGGUUAUUGCGAUGGAGGGACGGAGAAGGCUAGGCCAGCUUGGCGUUGGUUGUCCAAGUUUAAGGUGGUAGGCUGAGAUCUUAGGUAAAUCCGGGAUCUUAAGGCCGAGAGCUGAUGACGAGUCAUCUUUUAGAUGACGAAGUGGUUGAUGCCAUGCUUCCAAGAAAAGCUUCUAAGCUUCAGGUAACCAGGAACCGUACCCCAAACCGACACAGGUGGUUGGGUAGAGAAUACCAAGGCGCUUGAGAGAACUCGGGUGAAGGAACUAGGCAAAAUGGCACCGUAACUUCGGGAGAAGGUGCGCCGGUGAGGGUGAAGGACUUGCUCCGUAAGCUCAUGCCGGUCGAAGAUACCAGGCCGCUGCGACUGUUUAUUAAAAACACAGCACUCUGCAAACACGAAAGUGGACGUAUAGGGUGUGACGCCUGCCCGGUGCCGGAAGGUUAAUUGAUGGGGUUAGCUAACGCGAAGCUCUUGAUCGAAGCCCCGGUAAACGGCGGCCGUAACUAUAACGGUCCUAAGGUAGCGAAAUUCCUUGUCGGGUAAGUUCCGACCUGCACGAAUGGCGUAACGAUGGCGGCGCUGUCUCCACCCGAGACUCAGUGAAAUUGAAAUCGCUGUGAAGAUGCAGUGUAUCCGCGGCUAGACGGAAAGACCCCGUGAACCUUUACUAUAGCUUUGCACUGGACUUUGAAUUUGCUUGUGUAGGAUAGGUGGGAGGCUUUGAAGCGUGGACGCCAGUUCGCGUGGAGCCAUCCUUGAAAUACCACCCUGGCAACUUUGAGGUUCUAACUCAGGUCCGUUAUCCGGAUCGAGGACAGUGUAUGGUGGGUAGUUUGACUGGGGCGGUCUCCUCCUAAAGAGUAACGGAGGAGUACGAAGGUGCGCUCAGACCGGUCGGAAAUCGGUCGUAGAGUAUAAAGGCAAAAGCGCGCUUGACUGCGAGACAGACACGUCGAGCAGGUACGAAAGUAGGUCUUAGUGAUCCGGUGGUUCUGUAUGGAAGGGCCAUCGCUCAACGGAUAAAAGGUACUCCGGGGAUAACAGGCUGAUACCGCCCAAGAGUUCAUAUCGACGGCGGUGUUUGGCACCUCGAUGUCGGCUCAUCACAUCCUGGGGCUGAAGCCGGUCCCAAGGGUAUGGCUGUUCGCCAUUUAAAGUGGUACGCGAGCUGGGUUUAGAACGUCGUGAGACAGUUCGGUCCCUAUCUGCCGUGGACGUUUGAGAUUUGAGAGGGGCUGCUCCUAGUACGAGAGGACCGGAGUGGACGAACCUCUGGUGUUCCGGUUGUCACGCCAGUGGCAUUGCCGGGUAGCUAUGUUCGGGAAAGAUAACCGCUGAAAGCAUCUAAGCGGGAAACUUGCCUCAAGAUGAGAUCUCACUGGAACCUUGAGUUCCCUGAAGGGCCGUCGAAGACUACGACGUUGAUAGGUUGGGUGUGUAAGCGCUGUGAGGCGUUGAGCUAACCAAUACUAAUUGCCCGUGAGGCUUGACCAUAUAACACCCAAGCAAUU
rnacentral:rRNA from 1 species